UACGAGGGGGGCGAGCGUUGUCCGGAAUUAUUGGGCGUAAAGGGUGCGUAGGCGGUUUGGUAAGUCUCUUGUGAAAUCUAUGGGCUCAACUCAUAGUCUGCAAGGGAAACUGCCGGGCUUGAGUGUGGGAGAGGUGAGUGGAAUUUCCGGUGUAGCGGUGAAAUGCGUAGAUAUCGGAAGGAACACCUGUGGCGAAAGCGGCUCACUGGACCACAACUGACGCUGAUGCACGAAAGCUAGGGGAGCAAACAGG
rnacentral:rRNA from 1 species